rnacentral:misc_RNA from 1 species
UCUUAAUUGUUACAGCAUUCUUGAUAUGGCGCACGUUAUCCCAUUUAAUAACUGAUGUGUUUUGGAUUAAUCUCCGUACAUAUAUAAAUAGACAGAUACUAUCGCGUCAAUUAUGAUGUUGGAAACUGGCAACAGCUUAUGCGAUACUUAAACUCUGAAGAUUAUAACAAAAUACAUAUUCUCAAUCGUGCUCAAAUCAUCGAUGACGCGUUUUACUUCUUUGUACAAAAACAACUCAGAUACAACUUGUUUUGGAAUCUUACAAACUUCGUAAUACGAGACACUAAUUUUGUUACAUGGUAUCCUAUGAUUAAAGUUUUCGAAUCCUUUACUUAUAUGUUUCCACUUGAAUAUGGUAAUUUGAUAAUGGAAGCAAUGAAAAACAGAAUAGAUGGACUUCUUACAAAAAUAGGAUACUUUGACAAACCAACAGACCAUACUCUCACUAUAUAUUUAAGACAAGAAGCUGUAAAAUGGGCAUGUAUUCUUGGUAUUUCUGAGUGCCGAAGAAAUGCUGCUUCGAAAUUAUUAGAAGAGUUUAAAUAUUCUGAAGACAACUCAAAUUCGAUGGAGAUAAAACGAACAUACUGUCAUAAUUUAAUACCAAUGAACCACACUAUUUGGAACGAGAUAUGGAAGAAAUGGAAUGCAACGUUUGAUGAAAGAUUUUUAGAAUACCUAUCUUGCUCUGAAGAUCUUGCUAUCAUUCGCCAUUAUUUAACGGAAUUAAUACAGCGCAAAGCUCAAUCCGAAUAUGUUAAUGCAUUUUUUUUUAGUGUUGCAAAACAUGCAAAAAAGUUGAACUGUAUAAUUUUAUUUUCAAUAUUGUUAAAGAAGUUACUUUCGAUUCAAAUAGGAGAAGUGACAUCAUUGCAACAUUUAUUGUAAUUAUUACGCAUGUGCACGAGCAAGAGCACAUAAGCGAGUUAACCAAAUAUUCAUCGAAAACGCAAAAUAAAAUAACAAAAUAUGUUGAGAAAAAAAUAAGGAAACGAAAAUUGGAAUACGCAAAACUAUCCAACAACUACGGGUAUUAUUUAAGUAGCAAGAAAUAAAUAGCGAAACAUUUGAGUCAAUGGAAGACUCACUUCACUGUUUCUCAUACACAAUCAUGUAUCGAUAAUUGUUAUAAUCUCUUUCCUCGAAUUUGUUAAACAAUAUCUAUGCAUUUAAAAUUAUUUAAUUUUUAUUCUUAAUUAUUUUUAAUACCCUCAUAUUAUUCUUAUUACUAAUGCUAUAAAUUUUGAAUAACGCAGAUAUUUGCAUUCUUUGAUGAGUAAUAAAAAGAAUUACGUUAGUGACAAAAACAAUCAUCGUUUAAAAUACGUAUACAAAGGACAUAAACGGACAUCUGACAGCGAUAAAAUAGUCCAUUUUCAUUAUAGAAUUUGAUUUUAUAAUACAUAAGAUUGUAUUUGUAUUAUAUUGUAAAAACUAACACAUUCUACGCUCUCAGUCAAUAAAGACGUUG